ensembl:lncRNA
AUGCGUGCCACGUCGUCCUGGAUGUCCCGCGGCGGGGCGGAGGGCAGUGGGGAGAGCUCCCCGGCUUCGGGCCUGGCCCCAGGGAGCGCGCGCACUAGCGCCCCGGGCUGUCCGGUUCCGGGAGCAGGCGGCUCCGGAACGGGUUUCCUCCCCCACCCCGGGUGGGGUGGGGGCGAGGGUCGGCGGGGCAGGUGUGUGCACAGGUCUCAGCUCUUGGCGGCCGGCUCCAACACCCGGGGCCCAGAUCAAGGAUCGGCUCCGGCGCCGGGAGCUGCUCCGAGGCCCGGGCCGGCGGUGCUGCGCGGGCGGCGGCGGCUCCGGCCGGUCGGGGGUUGCAUUACAACGGGAGUCUCUGCACGGGGAGAAGACGUCCAGCGCCGGUCACUGGCGGGGCCCCGCCCCCAGCACCUCCCUCCUUCUACCACUCUUUGGCUUCUCUGUAAAGGCCUCACGAAGGUGGCUGGAGAGGGCUCACUGCCACGGCCCUGGCACUGCCCAGCCCAGGUCUGGGUGGAGAGGAGGAGGAGCAGGAGGAAGGGGGGAGGGGGAGGAAAGGGGGGAGGAGGAAGAGGCGAUGAAGAACAGCUCGGGCGGCAGCAGAGGGGCGCCAAGGAGGUGGCACUGACGGCCUCCCGGUCCCCGCAGGCCGGCUCUUACCCGCAUCACUGGCACACGGGUAGUGGUAGGUGUGGGUGCAUCCUUUGUGGCAACACCCAAUGGUGGCCCCGGGCUCUUGGCAGCUGGAACAGGUCUGCCGGAGAGAGGGGAGGCAGGUCAGUCCCCAACCCCAGGCUUCCCACACGCCCAUCCCAGCCGGCUGGGUACCCACACCCCCUGGGCUGGUGCACUGGAUGCGCGGGGCCCUUCUUGGGCCACGGACCUUGGCAACCCCUCUUGUCUGUGGCCACCAGGCAGCACCUGCAAUGGAAGGUACUGGAAACAGGGUACUUCCCAUUGAACCCACUUUCCAGGUGGGGAGACUGAGGCACCCCCUGCAUUGGUCUCCGCCCUUCCGGGCAGCAGCAGGAACACUCCACAUGGAAUCAGACUUCUCUGCCCUCCCUGGAACCCCGGGUCUGAUCUUGGAGGCCCCCCACCGUGGCAGUAUAGACACACCCCUUUAUGUCAAUUUCAUGUUCUCCAAAACUACUAUCUGCUGAGUUUGGGGGCUGCCCAGCGCCUGGCCUGGCCACUUGGAGGGGACCUAGUGAGCACGGGAUGGCAGUGACAAGCAGGUCCUCUGGAAGAGUUUAGCAAGGGCAUGGACACUGUGCCACAGGGGUGGCAUCUCCUACAGGCACCGGUUCAAGUCCCGGCUGCUCCACUUCCGAUCCAGCUCCCUGCUAAUAUGCUUGGGAAAGCAGCAAAGGAUGGCCCAAGUGCUGGGACCCCCUGCCACCCAAAUGGGAGACCCAGAAGAAGUUCCUGGCUCCUGGCUCCGGCUUGGCCCAGUCCCUGCCGUUACAGCCAUUUGGAGAGUGAACCAGCGGGUGGCUGGCUGUGCUAGCCACGGCCGGAAGCUGGGUCCCUCAUCACCCCAUGCAUUUCCUGACUUAGGUGGCCAGCCUGGAGUACCCACUGUCCCUUACUGCCCUGCUGGACAGCUCCAUGCACACCACAGCCCAGAGCUGGGGGAGGCGAGGGUGGCGCCUAGGAGUGCGCCCUCUGGUGCCCAGAGCUGGCAGUGGGGCCGUGCGGGGCUGGGGUACUUUUUAGAAUAUCAGGAUGGGCCCCUUUGUGGGGUUGUCCUCCUGGGCACCUGGGCCCAUGGUUUCUGACCCAGAAUGGGACCCUGCCCCUCCACUCUGCUCCAGACAGGGAGCUGGAGUCAGCCGCCCCUGUGCUCUGCUGCUGGCCAAGGAGCCGGCACCAGGCACCGCUCAGCCUCGUGACCACGCCCCGAGGCGGCCCGGUCUGGAUGACAGAUGUGUCCCCCAGUAUAAGGAGAGCAGCAGGCCCCGGGCAGCCUGGGAACCUGAGGUCC